ACAACAAUUCGGACCGUCGGUCUACCGAGCAAAAUCACCCGCUCGGUGAAAAAUCUCGUCUUUGCCAU
rnacentral:pre_miRNA from 1 species